rnacentral:rRNA from 1 species
CUAGCUGGUCUGAGAGGAUGACCAGCCACACUGGAACUGAGACACGGUCCAGACUCCUACGGGAGGCAGCAGUGGGGAAUAUUGCACAAUGGGCGCAAGCCUGAUGCAGCCAUGCCGCGUGUAUGAAGAAGGCCUUCGGGUUGUAAAGUACUUUCAGCGGGGAGGAAGGGAGUAAAGUUAAUACCUUUGCUCAUUGACGUUACCCGCAGAAGAAGCACCGGCUAACUCCGUGCCAGCAGCCGCGGUAAUACGGAGGGUGCAAGCGUUAAUCGGAAUUACUGGGCGUAAAGCGCACGCAGGCGGUUUGUUAAGUCAGAUGUGAAAUCCCCGGGCUCAACCUGGGAACUGCAUCUGAUACUGGCAAGCUUGAGUCUCGUAGAGGGGGGUAGAAUUCCAGGUGUAGCGGUGAAAUGCGUAGAGAUCUGGAGGAAUAC